rnacentral:rRNA from 1 species
UUUCGAAUCGUUCACAAUGGGGGCAACCCUGAUGGCGCGACGCCGCGUGGGGGAUGAAGGUCUUCGGAUUGUAAACUCCUGUCAUUGGGGACUAAUGGCCAGGCUCAUACCCUGGUUUGAAUUAACCCAAAGAGGAAGCAGUGGCUAACUCUGUGCCAGCAGCCGCGGUAAUACAGAGACUGCAAGCGUUACUCGGAUUCACUGGGCGUAAAGGGAGCGCAGGCGGACUCGUGUGUCGGACGUGAAAUACCGGGGCUUAACCCCGGUGCUGCGUCCGAAACUACGAGUCUAGAGACUUGGAGGGGUAAGCGGAAUUCUUGGUGGAGCAGUGAAAUGCGUAGAUAUCAAGAGGAACACCAACGGCGAAGGCAGCUUACUGGACAAGAUCUGACGCUCAGGCUCGAAAGCGUGGGGAGCAAAAGGGAUUAGAUACCCCUGUAGUCCACGCUGUAAACGGUGCGCAUUAGGUCUUGGAGCUUUCGAACGCUCCAGGGCUCAAGCUAACGCGAUAAAUGCGCCGCCUGAGGACUACGGCCGCAAGGCUAAAACUCAAAGGAAUUGACGG